AACAAGAGAUGUGUACAGGCAAAUGGACAGUUCCUAGUUUAUAAAUUAGCGCGCUAAAUUGACUAAUUUUUACCAAAAUUACGUCAUUUAGGGUCAAAGCAUGCAACGAACUAUAAUUGUUGCAAAGUACGAGCGCGCGUGGGCUUUAUUUGUAGUUGUAAUAGUAAAUACACAUUUUCGUUAAUGUGUAUACCCGACUGAGCAGUCAGGGUUAGUAGCGUAGCGAGUGAACCAUAGCUCGAUUCACUUGUACUUAUUGUCUCCACGUUGCUAUUGUUCACGAAGUACGGUCAACAUGACAAAUAUUAAAAGUGAAAGAAAACGCAGUUAUUCAUGGCGAGGGACUUGUCAUUAUUGCCCGCGUGUACCACUUUCUUCAAGAAGAGUAUAAUUUAAUGAAAGCGAACAAUACGGAUAAUUGUGAUUUGUGAGUCCUUUGGCUAAUAUAUACGGAAACGUACCGCUAAAGCUACAGGGAUCAGUAAACGAAUUGUAACUGCAAUUUUAAAACAAGACAAAGAGCUGCCAUCAAUGAUGAUGAGAGUGACAGUGUAGAAAUGUUCAAUGAAGGUAGUGAUAUAAAUGAACAUGAUUUAUUACUAAUAAUAAAUGACAGAGCCUUUUCUUUUGUGUAGAGUUAAGUUAUUGUUUAGGAUUACAUUUCUUUUGUGUUUAUUUUAAUUUUCUACGUGUAAUUAAUUAUUAUUAUUUAUGUAAAUUAGUAGUUAGAUAUAAAGUACCGUUGUAAAGUA